rfam:Schistosoma mattheei strain Denwood, Zambia genome assembly, scaffold: SMTD_scaffold0007211
AGCUUUCUAAAUCCGUACCGAGAUUUCAUCAUGCAUUAAUCCAUCGGGACUGAUGAAACGUCCAAGAUAAGUGAAGUA